CAAUAGCGUAUAUUAAAGUUGUUGCAGUUAAAAAGCUCGUAGUUGGAUUUGUGGCGUACGGUGUGUUCCGGGCACUUGUUGUCUGAGUAACCUGCUGUUGCCAUCCUUGGGUGGAACCUGUGUGGCAUUAGGUUGUCGUGCAGGGGAUGCCCAUCGUUUACUGUGAAAAAAUUAGAGUGUUCAAAGCAGGCUUAUGCCGUUGAAUAUAUUAGCAUGGAAUAAUGAGAUAGGACUUUUUUGCUAUUUUGUUGGUUUGCGCAAAGAGGUAAUGAUUAAUAGGGACAGUUGGGGGUACUCGUAUUCCAUUGUCAGAGGUGAAAUCCUUGGAUUUUUGGAAGACGAACUACUGCGAAAGCAUUUACCAAGGAUGUUUUCAUUAA
rnacentral:rRNA from 1 species